rnacentral:rRNA from 1 species
UUGGGAGCUCUCCCAUAUGGUCGACCUGCAGGCGGCCGCGAAUUCACUAGUGAUUGUAUUACCGCGGCUGCUGGCACGGAGUUAGCCGGAGCUUAUUCUCCCGGUACUGUCAUUAUCAUCCCGGGUAAAAGAGCUUUACGACCCUAAGGCCUUCAUCACUCACGCGGCAUUGCUGGAUCAGGCUUGCGCCCAUUGUCCAAUAUUCCCCACUGCUGCCUCCCGUAGGAGUCUGGGCCGUGUCUCAGUCCCAGUGUGGCUGGUCAUCCUCUCAGACCAGCUACGGAUCGUCGCCUUGGUAGGCUUUUACCCCACCAACUAGCUAAUCCGACGUAGGCUCACCCCAGAGCGCAAGGCCUUUCGGUCCCCUGCUUUUGAUCUCUCGAUAUCAUGUGGUAUUAGCCCGAGUUUCCUCGGGUUAUCCCACGCUCCAGGACAGAUUCCUACGUGUUACUCACCCGUCCGCCACUCGCCACCCCAUAAAGACCGAAAUCUUUACUGUGCUGCCGUUCGACUUGCAUGUGUUAGGCAUGCCGCCAGCGUUCAAUCUGAGCCAUGAUCAAACUCUAAUCGAAUUCCCGCGGCCGCCAUGGCG